rnacentral:rRNA from 1 species
AGUGAACGCUGGCGGCAGGCCUAACACAUGCAAGUCGAACGGCAGCACAGUAAGAGCUUGCUCUUACGGGUGGCGAGUGGCGGACGGGUGAGGAAUAAAUCGGAUUCUUCUUUUUCUUGGGUGAUAACGUAGGAAAACUUAUGCUAACACCGCAUAUGACGUACGGGUGAAAGCAGGGGUUCUUCGGACUCUGCGCGAUUGAAAUAGCCGACUACGGAGUAGCUAGUUGGCGGGGUAAAGGCACACCAAGGCAACGAUCCGUAGCUGGUCUGAGAGGAUGAUCAGCCACACUGGAACUGAGACACGGUCCAGACUCCUACGGGAGGCAGCAGUAGGGAAUAUUGCACAAUGGGCGCAAGCCUGAUCGAGCCAUACCGCGUGAGUGAAGAAGGCCUUCGGGUUGUAAAGCCCUUUUGUUGGGAAAGAAAAGAAGCAGAUUAAUCCCCCGCUGUUCUGACGGUACCCAAAGAAUAAGCACCGGCUAACUUCGUG